rnacentral:lncRNA from 1 species
GAUGAUGUUUACUUCAGAGACGCUGUUGUAAUUCCUGUUUGGAAACCUGGACAUUUCUUGUUAUCUAAACCUUUGUCAGUCUCUCAGCCCUGGGCCAUGGAAAGAGACGACUGGUUUGGACAUCGAGGGCUUUCCACGGCAAAAGUAUGGCAUCGACUGUGGCAUCUCCAUGUUGAUGGUAGGUGUGAAUAUUAGGCAGAUUUAUUUACUCUUUGUGCUUAAAAAAUAUUUACAUAAUUUUUUUAUUUUUAUUUACAGUAUGCCCUUUACAAAGUCAUGGAUGCACCCUUUGACUUCACUGUUGUAAGUUCCCUUGCUUAUUCAAAGCUAUCUAAAAAGUUAUUUUAUAUUAUGUGUAUCAUGCUGAUUGAAAAUCUUGACCUUGGAAGCCAUGGCAAACUCUUUGCCCACUGGACUGACACAUCUAAGGCUCUUCUUCGGGGUGAGGUGCCACCAGUUUUUAAACUGAAGAAGAGAAGGCGAGAUGACAUUCAUGAGGGGCCACUUGACAACAUUGUAGCUGGAGUUGCCUGGCUGCGUCAGAAUGCAGGUUUGCUCAGGGGGAAGGUGGUUGAGCCCGCAUUUCCGAAUAUCGACGCAAAAGAACAGCAGGAGCUCCUGAAAAGGAUCCGUUCUUCAACUGAUGAAGAAGAAAAGCAUCCCCUGCUCUUCACAUUUGAUUUUCAGGAAGACAUGGAGGUCUUCCUUAACAUGGCAGCUGAGGAGGAUCUUCGGGUCAACGCCAUGUUUCUGGGUCGCUGGGUGGACAGCCAGUGACAUUGCUGUGUGUGUGUGUGUGUGUGUGUGUGUGUGUGUGUGUGUGUGUGUGUGUGUGUGUGUGUGUGUGUGUGUGUGUGUGUGUGUGUGUGUGUGUGUGUGUGUGUGUGUGUGUGUGUGUGUUGAGGUUCUGAGUUCAGUUAUCUGUUGUGUUCUUAAUAAAGUGUUAUAACGUUUACAAUGUAUUGAUUUUUUGUAUUACUUUACUUAUUCACUUUGGUUACACACAGAGCUAAGUUAAAACACAGACUUGAGUUUGUCGUAUUUAAAUAUGGGCAAAUAAGGUGGUCCCGCAGCACAAGGUAAGACAAUAUUAUAGACAAUUAGAGCCAGAUAUUAAAUGAAUGAUGGUUCAGAGUAAGAAUUUAGGAAUGCAAAAGUGCUAAUAACAUAUGAUAAAUUAUGUUGGAAUGCAGUCGAACCUUAUGAUAUUAAGACAACAGAAUGUAACAUAGCUAGACCUAAUAUAAAUAUGUCAGAAAAGGUGAAGCUAAAGGGGAAUUGUUCUAUCUAUUCCUGUUCACUCAUACAUAGUAUUUAAAAUAAUUAUUAGCCUCAAUCUCUGAUGCCCUUCAACUUUAAUAACGAGU